rnacentral:misc_RNA from 1 species
CAUUCAAAAUGAAGAUUUUCCUGCUUUACCAGGAUUUAAAGGUGGGAAUGCUGAUUAUGCUAUGGAUCCUCACCAGAAAGAGCAGCUUCAUGAUAAUGCUCUUUCUAUGAUGCAACAGCAACACUUCUCAAUGGGAAGAUCCACAGGUUUUAAUUUGGGUGGAACAUAUUCAUCACAUCGUCCGCAGCCGCAGCUGCAACAUGCUCCAUCUGUUAGUAGUACCGGUGUCUCUUUUUCAAAUAUAAACAACCAGGAUCUGCUGAAUUUACAUGGUCCAGAUGUCUUCCAAUCAUCGCAGUCCAAUUAUCAUCAACAGAGUGGUGGACCUCCCGGUAUAGGAUUACGGCCUCUUAAUUCGUCAAGUAAUGUUUCUGGUAUUGGAUCAUAUGAUCAGCUCAUUCAGGCUCAGCAGUAUCAACAGCAUCAGGGUCCAUCCCAAUUCAGGUUGCAGCAGAUGUCCUCUUUAAGUCAGCCAUACAGCUUAAAGUCCAUGCAAUCCCAAGUUGCUCCUGACCCGUUUGGUAUACUUGGUUUGCUAAGUGUAAUACAGAUGAACGAUCCAGAUUUGACUUCUCUUGCACUUGGAAUUGAUCUAACAACUCUUGGUUUGAAUUUGAACUCUGCUGAGAAUUUGUACAAGACUUUUGGUUCCCCAUGGUCUGAUGAGCCUUCCAAAGGGGAUCCAGAAUUUACUGCACCCCAAUGUUAUUAUGCGAAGCAACCCCCACCUUUAAAUCAAGCAUACUUCUCAAAGUUUCAGCUGGAUACUUUGUUUUACAUAUUUUACAGCAUGCCAAAAGAUGAAGCGCAACUGUAUGCUGCAAAUGAACUGUAUAACCGCGGAUGGUUUUAUCACAGAGAACAUCGGUUGUGGUUUAUGAGGGUCGCCAACAUGGAGCCUCUUGUCAAGACGAAUGCAUAUGAGAGAGGGUCUUACAUUUGUUUUGAUCCAAACACAUGG